AACCCGUAAGGCGCAAGG
rnacentral:snRNA from 1 species